UGCCUCUUACUUAGACGUUUCUGGCUCUCUGCCAUGGCCCUUCUUAACUCUGCUCGACAGUGUGUAUUAAGCACCUGAUUUGUUCCCAGUUCUCUACAAGUCUGAAGACUGAAGCCCACAGCUCAUUACCCUUUGAAGGAUGAGCUAUAAAUAUACUGGGUCAUUAAAAAGAGGAAGGAGUGCACCUGGACAGUCAAGAACAUGUAAAUUCGGCCAGAGGAGACUGCAGGGCCCAGAGACCGCCCAUCACCAUGGUCUUCCUGGCUUCUUCAGAAGAACUCUGGACGUCCAGGUCAGGGACCACAGGUCAGCCAGCUUCCCCUCCAGCUGCCUCAGGAAACCCCCCAGGGAUCCCUCGCCCUCUGGGGGAAGAGGGAAGUGACCCCUGGUGGGAGGGUCCAACGCUUGGUCCCCAAAGGCAUUGUGUUCCCCUCUGUGGACUGGCAUGUCCUGAAUGUCUCAAACCGGGAGGAGCAGAGGGGAAAGAGGGUGUGAGUUUUGACUGUGCAGCCGGAUGAUUUGGAUGACCUUGGGCAAGUUAUUGAACCCCUGAACCCCAGUUUUCUCAUCUGUACGGUGGGAUGCCCUUGAACAUUAGAGAAGACGCAGGAAGUGCAUCUGACACAUCGUAGACGUGCAACAGAAGUAGUUUCUCUUUCUCUUCCUCCUCUUUCCCUUUUCUCUUAGUGGAUUAUGUCCAUUUUGCAUCCCGAGCACUUGGGAAAGUUGCUGGCACGCAGCGAGUGCUCGAGGAAUGCUUUUUGAAAGAACGAAGGAGAGCUCCGAUUUCCCCAGCUUGGAGUCUGUCAGAAUCACCGACAGCAUUCUCACUGUGGGACAGAAGUCACUGUGGGGUGUGGUAGACUGUGCCAUGGCCCUGCAAUGACGUCUGUGCCCUGACACCUGCCUGGAACCUAUGGAUAGGUUGUUACAUGACCGAAAGGGACUUGGCAGGCGAUUUGUUACACCAGAAAUAGACAACCAAUACCCUGAGCCUCCAGAGUAUGGACGCUGACCUACCAAGCCCUUUGGCUAAUAUGUACACUCACCAAGCGUGCCGGAAGUGUCCCCUUCAUCACCAUUUGCAAAUGUCAACUGAGAGCUGGACACCAGGCUAAUGGUUCCCACGUUCCUCUCGUCCCUAAACAUCAAGAGCUCUUACUGUGUGGUCACCCAGCCCCAUAGCCAUUAGGCCUUGGCCCCUAGGGGACCCAUCAGGGUAAAUUAAAACUAAAACAUUU